rnacentral:rRNA from 1 species
GACGAACGCUGGCGGCGUGCUUAACACAUGCAAGUCGAACGGAAAGGCCCUGCUUUUGUGGGGUGCUCGAGUGGCGAACGGGUGAGUAACACGUGAGUAACCUGCCCUUGACUUUGGGAUAACUUCAGGAAACUGGGGCUAAUACCGGAUAGGAGCUCCUGCUGCAUGGUGGGGGUUGGAAAGUUUCGGCGGUUGGGGAUGGACUCGCGGCUUAUCAGCUUGUUGGUGGGGUAGUGGCUUACCAAGGCAUUGACGGGUCGCCGGCCUGAGAGGGUGACCGGCCACAUUGGGACUGAGAUACGGCCCAGACUCCUACGGGAGGCAGAAGUGGGGAAUAUUGCACAAUGGGCGGAAGCCUGAUGCAGCAACGCCGCGUGCGGAAUGCCGGCCUUCGGGUUGUAAACCGCUUUCGCCUGUGACGAAGCGUGAGUGACGGUAAUGGGUAAAGAAGCACCGGCUAACUACGUG